UAAGCUUUAUAACUCACAGAUUCUUAAAAUAUUGUGAAUUACAUCACAGCUUUUAAAUAAAGAUGAUUUCAAAAACAUUGGUAAUUAUCAUUCUCAUCGUUACGCUUGAAGUUGCAGUAUCUAAUGGAGCUUUGAUUCAACCUAAAAAAAACAGAGCAGGACUCGCACGUUGUCUUCUUCCAGCCAAUAUUUGUGCCUUAUAUACAAAAGAUAAUGAAUUUAUUUGUCGAACAAAGCAAAACUGUGAAAAACCAUCAGAUUGUAAUUUGAGACGUCGUUGUGACACAAAGUAAAAUUUUUUCAGAAGAAGCAUUUAGAAGAAAAAAUAAAGAUAAAAUUUA